rnacentral:rRNA from 1 species
UGUGAAAUGUACCGGCUCAACCGGUGAUGUGCAGCGCGAACUGGGAAUCUUGAGUACGCAGUAAGCAGGCGGAAUUCGUGGUGUAGCGGUGAAAUGCUUAGAUAUCACGAAGAACUCCGAUUGCGUAGGCAGCUUGCUGUAGCGUAACUGACGCUGAAGCUCGAAAGUGCGGGUAUCGAACAGGAUUAGAUACCCUGGUAGUCCGCACGGUAAACGAUGGAUGCCCGCUGUCGGCCUUUUUUGGUCGGUGGCCAAGCGAAAGCGUUAAGCAUCCCACCUGGGGAGUACGCCGGCAACGGUGAAACUCAAAGGAAUUGACGGGGGCCCGCACAAGCGGAGGAACAUGUGGUUUAAUUCGAUGAUACGCGAGGAACCUUACCCGGGCUUGAACUGCCAUUGACUUGAAUAGAGAUAUUCAUUCCCUUCGGGGCAUUGGUGGAGGUGCUGCAUGGUUGUCGUCAGCUCGUGCCGUGAGGUGUCGGCUUAAGUGCCAUAACGAGCGCAACCCCUUUUUUCAGUUGCCAUCGGUUAAAGCCGGGCACUCUGUGAAUACUGCCGCCGUAAGGUGUGAGGAAGGUGGGGAUGACGUCAAAUCAGCACGGCCCUUACGUCCGGGGCUACACACGUGUUACAAUGGCGCGUACAGCGAGUCGGCCGUAUGUAAAUGCGGUCCAAUCCUUAAAACGCGCCUCAGUUCGGACUGGGGUCUGCAACCCGACCCCACGAAGCUGGAUUCGCUAGUAAUCGCGCAUCAGCCAUGGCGCGGUGAAUACGUUCCCGGGCCUU